GUCGUGGCUCAGUGGUAGAGCGCUUGUCUGGCAUGCAUGAAGCACUGGGUUCAUUCCCUGGCACCACA
rnacentral:tRNA from 1 species